rnacentral:rRNA from 1 species
CCUACGGGAGGCAGCAGUGAGGAAUAUUGGUCAAUGGGCGCGAGCCUGAACCAGCCAAGUAGCAUGAAGGAUGACUGCCCUACGGGUUGUAAACUUCUUUUAUAAAGGAAUAAAGUGAGGCACGUGUGCCUUUUUGUAUGUACUUUAUGAAUAAGGAUCGGCUAACUCCGGGCCAGCAGCCGCGGUAAUACGGAGGAGCCGAGCGUUAUCCGGAUUUAUUGGGUUUAAAGGGAGCGUAGAUGGGUUGUUAAGUCAGUUGUGAAAGUUUGCGGCUCAACCGUAAAAUUGCAAUUGAUCCUGGCAUUCUUGUGUACAGUUGCGGUAGGCGGCAUUCGUGUUGUAGCGGU